CGAAGCCGGUUCUCCCGGCGGCUACUGUGGCCGCGUCCACCAGCGGCGGGUCGCCGGAGAGCUACCGCGGCGUCAGGCUCCGCAAGUGGGGCAAGUGGGCGGCGGAGAUCCGCAACCCCUUCACCGGCAAGAGGCAGUGGCUUGGCACCUUCGACACCGCCGGCGCGGCCUCUGCCGCCUACCUGUCCGCUUCCAGGAGCUUCGCCGAUGAAAAACGCCGGCGCCGCGGGCAGCCCGUGCCCGCUUCUUCACCAGCUUCUUCGGCAAGCGCCACCCCGACGGCCUCCUCUUCGUCGUCCACCUCGGCUGCUCCGUUCGCCCACCCGUCGCCGUCCUCC
rnacentral:lncRNA from 1 species